UCCGAAUUGGUGUAGUGGCUAACAUUUGACGCUCUCAUCUUCACUUUGGUGGCGACCGGGUACCGUCAAGCCCGGGGUUCGAUUCCCCGAUUCGGAG